GUGAAGUCCCUCAGUCGUGUCCGACUCUUAGUGACCCCAUGGACUGUAGCCCACCAGGCUCCUCCAUCCAUGGGAUUUUCCAGGCAAGAGUACCGGAGUGGGGUGCCAUUGCCUUCUCCGAGGAUAAUGAGUUAGGAGUAGAGAAUUAUACAGCAGCAGGCUUGGGGGCAAGGGGCAGGUGAGUAAGGAGGGCAGGGGGUUUACUCCACAUCUCUUGCUCUGAGGCUCAGCAGUAGAGAAUCCUCCUGCAGUGCAGGAGACGGAGGAGACAAGGGUUCGAUCCCUGGGUUGGGAAGAUGCCCUGGAGAAGGGCAUGGCAACCCACUCCAGUACUCUUGCCUGGACAAUCCCAUGGACAGAGGAGCCUGGCAGGCUGCCGUCCAUGGGGGUUGCAAAGAGUCAGACAUGACUGAGCACAGACACACACUCUGAAUCAGAGGGCCAGCCUACAGGCCAAGAGAAGCUUCUGGAGCAGACCAUGGAAGGAAACACCGACCAAGUUCGCGGAAAAGGCUGGUUCCUGUUUGCUCCCUGGUCCCUGGUCAAGUACAGGUGAGGAGGUGGCACGCCGAGAGAGACUGACCUAGUGGCAGACUCUUUUGGGAGGGCCCAGUUCCUAAAGAGGCACAAGUUGGAAGGAAUUAGAAUAUGACGGUUGAAGGAGAGGUGUUAAAUACCAGUUUGCAGAAUUACAAGACUAAUGGAUUUGUGGACAGAAGUCUUGAAAUUGUAACAGUAAAGAAAUUCCAUUUUUCCUCUUA